rnacentral:rRNA from 1 species
UACGUAGGGUGCGAGCGUUAAUCGGAAUUACUGGGCGUAAAGCGUGCGCAGGCGGUUUUGUAAGCCAGAUGUGAAAUCCCCGGGCUUAACCUGGGAAUGGCCUAUGUGACUGGCAGGCUAGAGGAUGGCAGAGGGAGGCGGAAUUCCACGUGUAGCAGUGAAAUGCGUAGAGAUGUGGAGGAACACCGAUGGCGAAGGCAGCCUCCUGGGCCAAUUCUGACGCUCAGGCACGAAAGCGUGGGGAUCAAACAGG